CUUGACCUCAAAUCAGGUAGGAUUACCCGCUGAACUUAA
rnacentral:rRNA from 1 species